rnacentral:rRNA from 1 species
UGCGUAGGUGGUUUCUUAAGUCAGAGGUGAAAGGCUACGGCUCAACCGUAGUAAGCCUUUGAAACUGGGAAACUUGAGUGCAGGAGAGGAGAGUGGAAUUCCUAGUGUAGCGGUGAAAUGCGUAGAUAUUAGGAGGAACACCAGUAGCGAAGGCGGCUUUCUGGACUGUAACUGACACUGAGGCACGAAAGCGUGGGGAGCAAACA